GUCUCCAGCCAUAUCAGACCGAAGGCCCCCGAUCUUGUCUGAUCUCGGAAGCUAAGCAGGAUCGGGACUGCUUAUGUACCUUGGAUGGGAGACCACCUGGGAAUACCGGGUGCUGGAGGCU
rnacentral:rRNA from 1 species